UACAGAGGUCCCAAGCGUUGUUCGGAUUCACUGGGCGUAAAGGGUGCGUAGGCGGUCGGGUAAGUCUGAUGUGAAAUCUCACAGCUUAACUGUGAAACUGCACUGGAUACUAUCCGGCUAGAGGAAUGGAGGGGAGACUGGAAUACUUGGUGUAGCAAGUGAAAUGCGUAGAUAUCAAGUGGAACACCAGUGGCGAAGGCGAGUCUCUGGACAUUUCCUGACGCUGAGGCACGAAAGCCAGGGGAGCAAACGGG
rnacentral:rRNA from 1 species